GGUGGUUCUCAGGUGAUGCACCCUGGAAUUGGGUUCCCUGCUCUCUGGUUCCGGGGUGCGUCACCCAGGAACUGCU
rfam:Myotis brandtii contig261585, whole genome shotgun sequence.